GAUGAACGCUGGCGGCGUGCCUAAUACAUGCAAGUCGAGCGAACAGACGAGGAGCUUGCUCCUCUGACGUUAGCGGCGGACGGGUGAGUAACACGUGGAUAACCUACCUAUAAGACUGGGAUAAUUUCGGGAAACCGGAGCUAAUACCGGAUAAUAUAUUGAACCGCAUGGUUCAAUAGUGAAAGACGGCUUUGCUGUCACUAAUAGAUGGAUCCGCGCCGCAUUAGCUAGUUGGUAAGGUAACGGCUUACCAAGGCAACGAUGCGUAGCCGACCUGAGAGGGUGAUCGGCCACACUGGAACUGAGACACGGUCCAGACUCCUACGGGAGGCAGCAGUAGGGAAUCUUCCGCAAUGGGCGAAAGCUUGACGGAGCAACGCCGCGUGAGUGAUGAAGGUCUUCGGAUCGUAAAACUCUGUUAUUAGGGAAGAACAAAUGUGUAAGUAACUAUGCACGUCUUGACGGUACCUAAUCAGAAAGCCACGGCUAACUACGUG
rnacentral:rRNA from 1 species